CAGCUGCCGGGGAGAAAGGGAUUGGAGCAGCAGGGCUAACCCGGCGCUGCUCGGAGAUGGGUUGCUGACGGACUCGGGAGGCAGCUGCAACAGGGCAUCGCUCAGUGUCCAAGUUUUUCCGUUUCUGAGCGCAAAAGGAAGAACUUAAGUGGGCUGCACUUGGACCGUAAAUCGCUCUGUAGUAUGUAAAAGCAGCAUGGAUCACGGACAGCCGAGCUGAGUCACUUGACCAACUCAGCUAUCAAGACGUACCUUGAACACCACCUCCCCUGUGAGGCUACUGACUCUUUGACAGAGAUGGGCAUUCUGAAGCCUUAAAUUUAUACUGAUGUCAUAGUAACCCAACAGAAAGACCAUGAGAAGAAUGGUCACUUACUACCAUUAUGAAAGGUAACCAAAAUAAAUACUGGCUACCAAAUCCAAAUGAACCAAAGAAGAAAAGGCAGCACAGAGGCAAACCAGGCUCGUAGGAGACCCAUGUGUGGAUAGGUUGUAAAUGGAUGAAGAGAGAUUUCUUCAACUGUCCUCGGGAUUUUCUCAGCUAAAUUCUACUGAAAGAGAGGAGCACCUGGCCCAUCUGGUUUGAGAAGCAUGAAAACAAGUCACAGCCUUGGUCCAGAAGAUGAGCUUCUACCCUGAGUCAUCCAUAUUCCUGUUCUGAGCAACUCAUACUGUUUGCUUACACAAGAUCCCUUAGGAUUAGUAGUUGGUUGUUUCUGGUUGUCUAUUAUUUCUUGUUCAUUUCACUUACAACUUUGAUAACGAUGUAACAGUGAUCUCUGCCCAGGAAAAAAGUAAUGAUCCUUGGAACAAGAUGUGCAAGCAGGAAACAUAUUUAUCUUCUCAAGACUGAGCUUCCAUUACUAAUAAUAGCUACCUUGUAUUGAACCCUCAUUCUACGCCAAGUUCCUGCAAAACACAUUCCAGAUCUUAUCUCAUUUAAUCCUGGCAACAAUGAUAGAAGAUAUGGGAGAUGGCGUAAUAAAAGGAGGCACCUUCACAACUUGGAGCAGCCAGCAGAAUGUAAAAUUCUGAUGUAGGAGGAUACCCAUGCCAUUUUGAGUGGAGGAAAAAAGCAAUUUUUUGCUCAGCAUUACCUAUAGUCAGGUUUCAUUGUGAAAAAUUGAAUAUAUUCUUGCAUAUUUUUCCUAUACGCACAUAUACACAUAUACAUACUCACAGACAACUGUGCAUGUGCAAAGUCCUAAAUUAUACACAUCCAUGUGCUCAUAGAGAUUGCAACUAUGGUAUAGGAACUUAGGGGAUAAGAAUGAAAUUGUUAUAUUUUACUUUAGACAUUUCAUUUCAUUCAAUGAAAACAUUGAAUGUUUUCAGUGAGCAUUCACUUCUUUUAAAGUUACUUCUUUUAAGUUGUAGGCCAGUGUUACUAAAAGCCUGAUACUCCAUACACCUUGCCCCAAUAUGUUAGAUGCUCCUGCUAUUAUAUCGUUUAUCAGCUUUUACGUUUUGCUUUCCAUCUGUGAUGGUUAGGUUCAUGUGUCAAGUUGGCCAAGUAAUGGUACCACCGCUGUCUGAUCAAACAGCACUGGCCUAACUGUUGCUUUGAGGAUGUUUUGUGGCUGGUUUAUUAAACAUCAG